rnacentral:rRNA from 1 species
UACGUAGGGUGCAAGCGUUGUCCGGAAUUAUUGGGCGUAAAGAGCUCGUAGGCGGUUUGUCGCGUCUGCUGUGAAAACUCGGGGCUUAACCCCGGGCCUGCAGUGGGUACGGGCAGACUAGAGUGCGGUAGGGGAGACUGGAAUUCCUGGUGUAGCGGUGAAAUGCGCAGAUAUCAGGAGGAACACCGGUGGCGAAGGCGGGUCGCUGGGACGUUACUGACGCUGAGACGCGAAAGCGUGGGGAGCAAACAGG